CUUCCGUAGGUGAACCUGCGGAAGGAUCAUUACCGAGUGCGGGCCCCUCGGGGCCCAACCUCCCACCCGUGUUGCCCGAACCUAUGUUGCCUCGGCGGGCCCCGCGCCCGCCGACGGCCCCCCUGAACGCUGUCUGAAGUUGCAGUCUGAGACCUAUAACGAAAUUAGUUAAAACUUUCAACAACGGAUCUCUUGGUUCCGGCAUCGAUGAAGAACGCAGCGAAAUGCGAUAACUAAUGUGAAUUGCAGAAUUCAGUGAAUCAUCGAGUCUUUGAACGCACAUUGCGCCCUCUGGUAUUCCGGAGGGCAUGCCUGUCCGAGCGUCAUUGCUGCCCUCAAGCCCGGCUUGUGUGUUGGGCCCCGUCCCCCCCGCCGGGGGGACGGGCCCGAAAGGCAGCGGCGGCACCGCGUCCGGUCCUCGAGCGUAUGGGGCUUCGUCACCCGCUCUAGUAGGCCCGGCCGGCGCCAGCCGACCCCCAACCUUUAAUUAUCUCAGGUUGACCUCGGAUCAGG
rnacentral:rRNA from 1 species